AAUGCCUCCUUUAAGGACGCAGGGCCAAACGGUGGUAGAGAGGGUUGUACUCUUGCCUUACAGGCAGGAGAACACCACUUCAUGGUUUGAUUCCCAGUCUUUUUGUAUGUAGUUCUAUGUAUUUUCUCCCUAUUUGUUCAGGUUCUUCUUCCUGAAGUUAUUUUUUUACUUUUUUUUUCAUUCCACAUUACUUUUAUUGAAAAUAAACUAGUUUCUGUGCCUGGCUGUCGAUUGGCGCUGCCUGGACAAGGCGGUAGCUGAUAGGCUUAGCGACCUGUCAAUCAAACUGCUGACUCGAAGCUACCAAACACAGUUUAGCUUUUGAAAUCGUAGAGCGCGGAGUUGUUUUUUGAUACUGUGUAGUGUGUAGUGUGUCGAAAAAAACCGAAAAAGAAGACGCCACGUUUUGGCUUUGACCGGUGGUUGAAGAUUGUAAACCGGCAUUCUGUGUUAAAACCGCUUUUCUGUCGGACAUGGCCGUGAAUCGGAUGGGAAACGACAGGAAGUACGUGAGUCUCACACAGGAAGUACACAACAACAACAACAAAAAACAUCCAAAAGUGUGCAGCGAGUUUUUCCUGCAAAUCAAAUGAAAAUGAGUUGGAUAGAAUUACAGUAGUAGAAGUUACCAGUGUGCAGUACAGUAUGAACAUUCAUAUCGGUUAACUGACUACAGGAAAUCUUAAAUCUCAAGAAAGAUUCGGGCCAGGGCCUACUCUGAACCUACUGUAGCUGUACGAAGUUCUACAACGAUGUGGAAUAUAUAUGUUUAGGUCUUGGGUUCUGUAGAGUUAUUGUUUUUUUGUGGGGGUUAAAGGAGAGAUACGUGCAUCCCUCAUUGUCCCAGACCAACCUCCUACCUGUCCAGACAUUUUGUCGGUUUUGGAGGUGGUCACCUCUACAUACGACCGAUGAAGUCGAUUGACUCCGGCCUCCGCCCCCACGACCCUGAGAAUUACAGAACCCACAUGUGGUACAAACACAUAAACAGAAGACGCCUCAACAUGUGGUUAGCAGUGAUACUGGGACACGGCGGUUGUGGAGAAUCCCACCACAACAGGAUCACAGGGGUGCCAGGAGUCAAUCCCAGAAGUUACAGUUGAGGCCAGGUUACAGUCUGGACUGUCACAGACCAUAGACUACCACCGACCGUUAUAGACCAUCACAGACCAUCAAAGACCAUCACAGACCACCACAGACCAUCACAGGUUCAAGUCGAAUAAAACCAGCAGCACAGCAGAGCGGGGUUCUCCGUCUCUCCCUCUCCAUUUCCUCGUGGCUGUGAAUGAGUUGCAGGUGUUGCCUGAGUGUAAAUGCAUCACUCUACAGCUGCUGCAGAGUUCUCUGGCUCUCCUCGGCCCCAUCAUCCCUCUCCAUAUCUCCCUCUCCGUCUCCGUCACUGUCUGCCUGGAUGCAUGUGUCAGACAACCGAUUAAUUCUCCGGAGGUGGAAAGGUGGAGUGACGGGGGAUCACAAGAGGCAAAUCAUCCCUAUAUUCAUCCACAGGGGGAGAUGGUGAGAACAGCGGACCCUAGCCUUUCCCAGCCACAGCCCAGACGAUUGCUGUGGAGCGAGAAGCCCACCGCUCGCCUCAACCCCCAGCUCUCUGGCCACCACUAAUGUGGGAAAAGCCUGGGAGGGUGUCCCCGCGAGCACACUCUCUGCUCAAACAGCGGUUUCGGGAUCCAAACCUACCACUAUGGCCCUCUGCACACAGCUCCAGCAUGACCAGUCAUCCUGGCCCCGGGGCUGGUUAAUGACAGCCUGCUUCGUCCCGUGCCAGUCCUGGGCCAUGGGAAUUGGCGUACGUAUCAUUCCAGCUUUGAAUCCAAUCCUCUAUCAGUUCAAUGGAAAAUUACGCAAAUCAUAAUUCCUCUAAAACUCAAUUAUUUUUAUUUUCUC